rnacentral:rRNA from 1 species
UCCAGAGGUCUCAAGCGGUGAUCGGAUUCAUUGGGCGUAAAGGGUGCGUAGGUGGUUGGGUAAGUCAAAUGUGAAAUCCCGGAGCUCAACUCCGGAACUGCAUUCGAUACUGCCCGGCUCGAGGAUUGGAGAGGAGACUGGAAUUCACGGUGUAGCAGUGAAAUGCGUAGAGAUCGUGAGGAACACCCGUGGCGAAGGCGGGUCUCUGGACAAUUCCUGACACUGAGGCACGAAGGCCAGGGGAGCAAACGGG